CCCGCACAAGCGGUGGAGUAUGUGGUUUAAUUCGAUGCAACGCGAAGAACCUUACCUGGUCUUGACAUCCCGGAGACCCUUAGGAAACUAGGGGGUGCUUCCAUCUGGAAGAAUCUGGAGACAGGUGCUGCAUGGCUGUCGUCAGCUCGUGUCGUGAGAUGUUGGGUUAAGUCCCGCAACGAGCGCAACCCUUGCCUUUAGUUGCCAGCAGUUCGGCUGGGCACUCUAAAGGGACUGCCGGUGUUAAACCGGAGGAAGGUGGGGAUGGCGUCAAGUCCUCAUGGCCUUUAUGACCAGGGCUACACACGUACUACAAUGGCCGAUACAAAGGGCAGCGACACUGCGAGGUGAAGCCAAUCCCGUAAAAUCGGUCUCAGUCCGGAUUGGAGUCUGCAACUCGACUCCAUGAAGUUGGAAUCGCUAGUAAUCGUGGAUCAGCAUGCCACGGUGAAUACGUUCCCGGGCCUU
rnacentral:rRNA from 1 species